rnacentral:rRNA from 1 species
GACGAACGCUGGCGGCGUGCUUAACACAUGCAAGUCGAACGGAAAGGCCCUGCUUUUGUUGGGUGCUCGAGUGGCGAACGGGUGAGUAACACGUGAGUAACCUGCCCUUGACUUUGUGAUAACUUCAGGAAACUGGGGCUAAUACCGGAUAGGAGCUCCUGCUGCAUGGUGGGGGUUGGAAAGUUUCGGCGGUUGGGGAUGGACUCGCGGCUUAUCAGCUUGUUGGUGGGGUAGUGGCUUACCAAGGCUUUGACGGGUAGCCGGCCUGAGAGGGUGACCGGCCACAUUGGGACUGAGAUACGGACCAGACUCCUACGGGAGGCAGCAGUGGGGAAUAUUGCACAAUGGGCGGAAGCCUGAUGCAGCAACGCCGCGUGCGGGAUGACGGCCUUCGGGUUGUAAACCGCUUUCGCCUGUGACGAAGCGUGAGUGACGGUAAUGGGUAAAGAAGCAACGGCUAACUACGUG